GGUGACCCUGAAUUGCUGGAUGACUCUGACUUCUAUCAGCAACUGUUGAAGGAGUUCUUUGAGACAGUGGACCCAAAUUCAUCAGAGGCGGCAUUUUAUGCUGUAAGAAGGCUACAGGCUAAGAAAAGAAAAUUGUUGAUCGACGCGCCUCAAAAAGUCGUAAGAUUCGAUAUCUAUGUGCAGGUAUA